GAUGAACGCUAGCUACAGGCUUAACACAUGCAAGUCGCAGGGUAACAUGAGGAAAGCUUGCUUUCCUUGAUGACGACUGGCGCACGGGUGAGUAACGCGUAUCCAACCUUCCCAUAACUACGGGAUAACCCGUUGAAAGACGGCCUAAUACCGUAUGACAUCGUUUGCUGACAUCAAAUAACGUUUAAAGGUUUAGCGGUUAUGGAUGGGGAUGCGUCUGAUUAGCUUGUUGGCGGGGUAACGGCCCACCAAGGCGACGAUCAGUAGGGGUUCUGAGAGGAAGGUCCCCCACAUUGGAACUGAGACACGGUCCAAAAUCGUACGGGAGGCAGCAGUGAGGAAUAUUGGUCAAUGGGCGAGAGCCUGAACCAGCCAAGUAGCGUGCAGGAUGACGGCCCUAUGGGUUGUAAACUGCUUUUAUGUGGGGAUAAAGUGCGUGACGUGUCAUGCAUUGCAGGUACCAAAUGAAUAAGGACCGGCUAAUUCCGUG
rnacentral:rRNA from 1 species